GCAAGUUUGGAGCAUAUGCAAGCAAGAAACUACAGCUCUUGUCAAUGCUUAGAAAGAGAGCUCAUCAUGGUACAAAACUGUGAAUCUCAUUACACAUAUGAACUCAAUCCUCUUCCAGAUUGUAAAGGAAGAUACUGUGUAGAAACCAAAGACGGUUCAAUGCCACAAUUACCAGAAUCUAAACCAGAAGUUACCGAGGAUGAAAACGCAUGC